GGAGGGAUGGCCGAGUGGUUUAAGGCGGUGGUCUUGAAAACCAUUGAGCUUCACGGCUCCGUGGGUUCGAAUCCUACUCCCUCCGCCA
rnacentral:tRNA from 1 species